rnacentral:rRNA from 1 species
GACGAACGCUGGCGGCGUGCUUAACACAUGCAGGUCGAACGGAAAGGCCCUGCUUUUGUGGGGUGCUCGAGUGGCGAACGGGUGAGUAACACGUGAGUAACCUGCCCUUGACUUUGGGAUAACUUCAGGAAACUGGGGCUAAUACCGGAUAGGAGCUCCUGCUGCAUGGUGGGGGUUGGAAAGUUUCGGCGGUUGGGGAUGGACUCGCGGCUUAUCAGCUUGUUGGUGGGGUAGUGGCUUACCAAGGCUUUGACGGGUAGCCGGCCUGAGAGGGUGACCGGCCACAUUGGGACUGAGAUACGGCCCAGACUCCUACGGGAGGCAGCAGUGGGGAAUAUUGCACAAUGGGCGGAAGCCUGAUGCAGCAACGCCGCGUGCGGGAUGACGGCCUUCGGGUUGUAAACCGCUUUCGCCUGUGACGAAGCAUGAGUGACGGUAAUGGGUAAAGAAGCACCGGCUAACUACGUG